rnacentral:rRNA from 1 species
CACGGUAAACGAUGGAUGCCCGCUGUUUGCGAUAUACUGUGAGCGGCCAAGAGAAAUCGUUAAGCAUCCCACCUGGGGAGUACGCCGGCAACGGUGAAACUCAAAGGAAUUGGCGGGGGCCCGCACAAGCGGAGGAACAUGUGGUUUAAUUCGAUGAUACGCGAGGAACCUUACCCGGGCUUGAACUGCCAGCGAACGAUUCAGAGAUGAUGAGGUCCUUCGGGACGCUGGUGGAGGUGCUGCAUGGUUGUCGUCAGCUCGUGCCGUGAGGUGUCGGCUUAAGUGCCAUAACGAGCGCAACCCUUUUCUUUAGUUGCCAUCAGGUAAUGCUGGGCACUCUGGAGAUACUGCCACCGUAAGGUGUGAGGAAGGUGGGGAUGACGUCAAAUCAGCACGGCCCUUACGUCCGGGGCUACACACGUGUUACAAUGGGGGUUACAGAGAGUCGGAUAUACGCAAGUAUGUUCUAAUCCUUAAAGCCUUCCUCAGUUCGGAUUGGGGUCUGCAACCCGACC